AGUGAACGCUGGCGGUAGGCCUAACACAUGCAAGUCGAACGGCAGCACAGUAAGAGCUUGCUCUUACGGGUGGCGAGUGGCGGACGGGUGAGGAAUACAUCGGAAUCUACUUUUUCGUGGGGGAUAACGUAGGGAAACUUACGCUAAUACCGCAUACGACCUACGGGUGAAAGCAGGGGAUCUUCGGACCUUGCGCGAUUGAAUGAGCCGAUGUCGGAUUAGCUAGUUGGCGGGGUAAAGGCCCACCAAGGCGACGAUCCGUGGCUGGUCUGAGAGGAUGAUCAGCCACACUGGAACUGAGACACGGUCCAGACUCCUACGGGAGGCAGCAGUGGGGAAUAUUGGACAAUGGGCGCAAGCCUGAUCCAGCCAUACCGCGUGGGUGAAGAAGGCCUUCGGGUUGUAAAGCCCUUUUGUUGGGAAAGAAAAGCGGCAGGUUAAUACCCCGCUGUUCUGACGGUACCCAAAGAAUAAGCACCGGCUAACUUCGUG
rnacentral:rRNA from 1 species